rnacentral:rRNA from 1 species
UACGUAGGGUGCGAGCGUUAAUCGGAAUUACUGGGCGUAAAGGGUGCGCAGGCGGUUCUGCAAGUCAGGCGUGAAAGCCCCGGGCUUAACCUGGGAAUGGCGCUUGAAACUACAGGACUAGAGUAUGGCAGAGGGAGGUGGAAUUCCACGUGUAGCGGUGAAAUGCGUAGAGAUGUGGAGGAACACCGAUGGCGAAGGCAGCCUCCUGGGCCAAUACUGACGCUCAUGCACGAAAGCGUGGGGAGCAAACAGG